GGGAGGGAAGAUCUUCUAGAACAUAAGAAUUGUCAUACUGAUUCAGACCAAUGGUCCAUCUAGCCCAGUAUUCUGUCUUCCGACAGUGGCCAAUGCAGG